UACGAAGGGGGCUAGCGUUGCUCGGAAUCACUGGGCGUAAAGGGUGCGUAGGCGGGCUAUUAAGUCAGUGGUGAAAGCCCCAAGCUUAACUUGGGAAUUGCCAUUGAUACUGAUUGUCUUGAGUACACUUGAAGUGGGCGGAAUGUGUCAUGUAGCGGUGAAAUGCUUAGAUAUGACACAGAACACCGAUUGCGAAGGCAGCUCACUAAAUUGUAACUGACGCUGAGGCACGAAAGCGUGGGGAUCAAACAGG
rnacentral:rRNA from 1 species